rnacentral:rRNA from 1 species
GACGAACGCUGGCGGCGUGCUUAACACAUGCAAGUCGAACGGAAAGGCCCUGCUUUUGUGGGGUGCUCGAGUGGCGAACGGGUGAGUAACACGUGAGUAACCUGCCCUUUACUUUGGGAUAACUUCAGGAAACUGGGGCUAAUACCGGAUAUGAGCUCCUGCUGCAUGGUGGGGGUUGGAAAGUUUCGGCGGUUGGGGAUGGACUCGCGGCUUAUCAGCUUGUUGGUGGGGUAGUGGCUUACCAAGGCUUUGACGGGUAGCCGGCCUGAGAGGGUGACCGGCCACAUUGGGACUGAGAUACGGCCCAGACUCAUACGGGAGGCAGAAGUGGGGAAUAUUGCAAAAUGGGCGGAAGCAUGAUGCAGCAACGCCGCGUGCGGGAUGACGGCCUUCGGGUUGUAAACCGCUUUCGCCUGUGACGAAGCGUGAGUGACGGUAAUGGGUAAAGAAGCACCGGCUAACUACGUG